UUACCAUAAAGGUAUGUGGGGUUAUGAACAAGAACACCCUUUCGUUCUUGUGCCCACAGUUUGCAUUAUUUUACAAAGAUACAUGAUUUUUACAUGUUUUAUCAUGAAUUUGAAGUGAUAAAUCUUAUCCUAUGUUGUUGUUCAAGAUACUAUGAUUAUUUUGAAUGUUUAGAAAAUAAACUCCAUGAGUUUGAGAUUAUUGUUAUGAUUAAAGGCUGAAAUUUUUCAAAUUUCCGUAUAAAUUAUGCAUGCUUG
rnacentral:lncRNA from 1 species